rnacentral:rRNA from 1 species
AAACCGUUCAGGGGUAAACCUGAGAAACCCAAAAGAUCGAAUGAGGAGAUUCAUCGUCAGCACACCUAGUAUAUGUACAAGUUAUGAUACGAGUUAUUAUUCUUGUAGUAAUGCUUGUACGUUCUUGUAUUAUUUUUGCUGGGAGUUGUCGGCGUGCACUUCUCCUCUAGUAGGACGUCGCGACCCGUUGGGUGUCGUUCUAUGACCCGGAUGGUAGCCUUUAUUUCUUUAUUGAUUUAAAGACCACUGGUGAUCUGAUCGGCUGCCCGGCGGUAUUCGCACGGUAUUGAGUCGCAAUAUAAUUUAUUUGCGUUGAGCCCGUUGCAAGCGCGGCCAUUCUCCCGGUAGUGCGGAUUUAAUGCCGUCAUUGGGGCUGGCCAGCUGUUGGUUGACGGUGUUCUUUAACUGGCUCAUUUAUUACCGGUCAGCGACGCUAUUGCUUUGGGUACUUUCAGGA